rnacentral:rRNA from 1 species
AGUGAACGCUGGCGGUAGGCCUAACACAUGCAAGUCGAACGGCAGCACAGUAAGAGCUUGCUCUUACGGGUGGCGAGUGGCGGACGGGUGAGGAAUACAUCGGAAUCUACUUUUUCGUGGGGGAUAACGUAGGGAAACUUACGCUAAUACCGCAUACGACCUACGGGUGAAAGCAGGGGAUCUUCGGACCUUGCGCGAUUGAAUGAGCCGAUGUCGGAUUAGCUAGUUGGCGGGGUAAAGGCCCACCAAGGCGACGAUCCGUAGCUGGUCUGAGAGGAUGAUCAGCCACACUGGAACUGAGACACGGUCCAGACUCCACGGGAGGCAGCAGUGGGGAAUAUUGGACAAUGGGCGCAAGCCUGAUCCAGCCAUACCGCGUGGGUGAAGAAGGCCUUCGGGUUGUAAAGCCCUUUUGUUGGGAAAGAAAAGCAGCAGGUUAAUACCCCGCUGUUCUGACGGUACCCAAAGAAUAAGCACCGGCUAACUUCGU